GCUUUUCACAGAUCAGAGAAAAUUUCACUUUCCAUAUACCACUGGCUUAUCUCUUAUCUGCAGAGUUUAAGAGGAUCAAUAUAUUGAUAAUUCCUGUUUUCCUCUAGUAAGCUGCAUUGUAGAAAAGGGUGAAGAACAUUGUGGUGAUCUGAUACAAGCACACAAAGAUUGUAUGAAGAAGAUGGGCUUUGACAUUUGACCAACAAUUCUCAUGUAGAUAACUUUUUUGUAAUUUUUCUGUCAUUGGUUUGCGUGUGGAGGAAUGAUAAAUGCAGUCUUAAUUGGUAAAUUUAAACUGGCAAUUUUUUUUAAAUAUCAGUUUGCCAGUCUCUUUCCACAUGAUUGGAAGAAAUAAAGAAAAUUGUAAAUGUUUACAAAUUCA